CGGAGGACAAGAAACUAUAUAGCAUCCCCAUAGUAAUGGCGAAUGAACCGGGAUAAACUCAGCAUGGACAUUGGGGCCUGUGGCUUUGACUUGUAAUCUGGGGAGGCAUUGCCAACAGAGGCGCAUAUGUAAGUCUCUUGGAAAAGAGCAUCAACGAAGGUGAGAUUCCUGAUUGUCGUGUGCAGCCCCCCUGUGCACGGUGUGCCUUCUAAGAGUCACGCUCCUUGGGAUUGGAGCGCAAAUUGGGUGGUGACUUUCAUCUGAAGUUAAACAAUGGCUUGGGACCGAUAGGAAACACGUACCAUGAGGGAAAGGUGAAAGGACUUUGCAAAGAGAGUUAAAAGUGCCUGAAAUUGCUGAAGGGGAAGCGAAUGGAACCAGUGGUGCUGGGUGAGAUUGUCGCAUGCUGCAACGAUUGGUUGCUGCCACACUCGCAAGUGUGCUGGCAAUUUGUGAACUGCUAGUGUGUGGUGUGUCUUUGCUGUUAUGCUUGUGCGUAAGCUUUAGUGUUUGUCUGGCUGCAGGGCUGUCCAUCCUCAAGCUUUGCGGGUUGUUGCGAUGAACAUAACCUUCUGCACAGCUCUUGGCGAAAUGGUUUCAUUCGACCCGUCUUGAAACACGGACCAAGG
rnacentral:rRNA from 1 species